GACGACCUCGGAUAGUGGCGGACGGGUGAGUACACGUGAGAAUCUGGCUCUAGGUCGGGGACAACAGUUAGAAAUGACUGCUAAUACCGGAUGUGCCGCAAGGUGAAAGAUUUAUUGCCUGGAGAUGAGCUCGCGUCUGAUUAGCUAGUUGGUGGGGUAAAGGCUUACCAAGGCGACGAUCAGUAGCUGGUCUGAGAGGACGAUCAGCCACACUGGGACUGAGACACGGCCCAGACUCCUACGGGAGGCAGCAGUGGGGAAUUUUCCGCAAUGGGCGAAAGCCUGACGGAGCAAUACCGCGUGAGGGAGGAAGGCUCUUGGGUUGUAAACCUCUUUUCUCAAGGAAGAACACAAUGACGGUACUUGAGGAAUAAGCAUCGGCUAACUCCGUGCCAGCAGCCGCGGUAAUACGGAGGAUGCAAGCGUUAUCCGGAAUGAUUGGGCGUAAAGCGUCCGCAGGUGGUCUUGUAAGUCUGCUGUUAAAGCGUGAGGCUCAACCUCAUAAUGGCGGUGGAAACUACAAAACUAGAGUACGUUCGGGGCAGAGGGAAUUCCUGGUGUAGCGGUGAAAUGCGUAGAUAUCAGGAAGAACACCGGUGGCGAAAGCGCUCUGCUAGGCCGUAACUGACACUGAGGGACGAAAGCUAGGG
rnacentral:rRNA from 1 species